AUAAUUUAUUAUUUUUGUGAAAAUAACCUGCAAUUAAAAUUAAUUAAGUAAAUUUAGAAAACAAAUUAGACACAUAAUAUAAUAAUGUUUGGCUCUGGCUUAUUUAUAUAAUAAAAGUAAAUGAAUACACAUGGUUUUCUUAGAGCGGAGUGAGGUGAGUAAAGGUAAAAAGAAAUUUAAAAUUUCUCAAAGCCUUUAUUUUAAGUAUUAUUAAAUAUAUAAUGCUUAGUAAAGUCCCACUAACACCAGUGCUGGAGAUUAAAAAAGGGCGUAAGUCCGAUUUAGAUUAGCUAUUUAAAUUUGGUUAACUUGGUGCCAGCAUCCGCGGUUACACCAAGAAAUUAAGUUAUAUAUUAUGGUAAAAAGACAGUUAAACAGAUAGUCAAUUUUUUAUUAGCUUUUAUUCAAAAGUAAAAUUUAUAAAUAAAAGUUAAAACCCUAUAAAAAAUAUAAGUUGAGGCUGUGAAAAUCUUGAGGGAAACUAGGAUUAGAUACCCUAUUAUUCUUGAAGAUAAAUAAAUUUAUACCCGGGCACUACGAAUGAUCUUUAUAUUUAAAACCCAAAGAGCUUGGCGGUGUUUUAGACUAUUUAGGGGAACUUGUUUCAUAAUCGAUAAUCCACGACAUACCUAACCUUCUUUUGUAAUCAGUAUGUAUACCGUUGUCGUCAGGUAACUUUUUAAAAUAAAAAAGUUAGCGAAAAAGCCAUAAGCUUAUACGUCAAAUCAAGGUACAGCCUAUGGGGAGGAGAGAAUGAGUUACAAUUAAAAUUUAUAAUAACGGAAUAGAAAAAGAAAAUUUCUCUGAAGGCGGACUUAAAAGUAAAAAAAUUACUAUAGAAAUUUCUUGAAUCAAGCUCUGAAACGUGCACACAUCGCCCGUCGCUCUCGCUGAAAAGUGAGAUAAGUCGUAACAUAGUAGGGGUAAUGGAAAUUGUCCCUAGAUGA
rnacentral:ncRNA from 1 species